GAUGAACGCUGGCGGCGUGCCUAAUACAUGCCAGUCGAGCGCACGGACGAGAAGCUUGCUUCUCUGAUGUUAGCGGCGGACGGGUGAGUAACACGUGGAUAACCUACCUAUAAGACUGGGAUAACUUCGGGAAACCGGAGCUAAUACCGGCUAAUAUUUUGAACCGCUUUGUUCAACAGUGAAAGACGGUCUUGCUGUCACUCAUAUAUGGAUCCGCGCUGCAUUAGCUAGUUGGUAAGGUAACGGCUUACCAAGGCAACGAUGCAUAGCCGACCUGAGAGGGUGAUCGGCCACACUGGAACUGAGACACGGUCCAGACUCCUACGGGAGGCAGCAGUAGGGAAUCUUCCGCAAUGGGCGAAAGCCUGACGGAGCAACGCCGCGUGAGUGAUGAAGGUCUUCGGAUCGUAAAACUCUGUUAUUAGGGAAGAACAUAUGUGUAAGUAACUGUGCACAUCUUGACGGUACCUAAUCAGAAAGCCACGGCUAACUACGUG
rnacentral:rRNA from 1 species